GUGUUGCGCAGCACACUCCCAUGGAUAUCAAUAGCAGCGUAGGGUACUACUCUUGUGGAUCUUAGAAUUUCAAACGUUUUUGCAAUGAACAUAGAAAGAACCAAUUUUUCUUUAACAAGUGUUUCUUCACAGGGACCUUAGCAGUUCAGGGGUCUUCCAGAAUUGCAGUAGAGGGCAAAAACACUGGACUUUGACUGGCCAUGCUGCUAUUGUUAUGACUCCCGAUUGUAAGUAACACUGUUGGCUUGGCUGGCUGCUCCUGCAGUAGAAAGAUUGAAUUAGGGCUCGAGAUACAGAGUAUGUGGAGUUUGGGUCAUGAUUAGUCCACUGGAACUCAGAUUCAUACCUGUAGCAGGCUGUCGGAUGUAUAUACUGUGUAUUUUCCGAGAGAAACAUUCUGAAAAUGUUGGUGUGUAAGUGACAACAUCACUGCUGUAUAGUAUAUAACUGGCAGUUGAUUUCAAGCACAAUUUAUCAAUUACAGGAUUAUUUUGGCUCGGACAAUUCGACGACUUGUUUAGCAUCCAAAACAAACAAAAUCUAUAACAUUUUGGGUUGUGAUAUUUCAAA
rnacentral:lncRNA from 1 species